AUGUCUACCAAUGGCGUUGAGGUUAACAGGAUGUGUGCUGCGCCCGGGGCGAUGAGCAGUUCUUUCUUCCCAGUGGAGUCACAGGAUUCCAUGAGCGUCCUAAACGGCGCUGUCUGUGCCGCCGGCUGUGCGCGGCCGCCUGUGGAUGCAGGGGUGGGCAAGGUGUGCUCUGAAGCCACCAGCGGCUGGACGCGCAGAUGCUUAUGCAGGGUCAGGGUUGGAAAAGCUCCCGAGGAGAGGGAGAUGAAUCCGAACAGGAUAUCAGCUCUGGAAUUGUCUGUCCGUGCUUAUGCAGAGAAGAGGGAUGGAACUGUUGUGUACCCAAGCAUUGGGACAAGUUUUGACUCGUUGGAUGAAGCUUAUGAAUUCUAUAAUCUGUAUUCAUGGGAGUGCGGGUUUGGUGUUAGACUUGCCAAGAGCAGAUUGAAUGUUGAAAGGAAGAGAUGCAUGCAAGAGAUUGUGUGUGCUUGUGCGGGGAAACCGUUGAGGGAAAACAGCCGCUCGACCAGGUGCGGAUGCAAUGCCAUGAUUAGGCUGCUGCGGUCGAACGACAAGGGCUGGUAUAUAGCAGAACACAAGGAUGAUCAUAACCACCCGUUGUCGUUGACCUGUGGCCAGAAAAUGCAUUGGAAGUCGCAUAAGCAUAUAGACAGAUACACAAAAGAUCUAGUGAAACAGCUGAGAGACAACAAUGUGGGGCUGGGGAAAGUGUUCAACAUUGUUGGAAGUUUUUUCGGGACAGCGGAUAAAGUGCCAUUUACCAAGAGGUCUUUGAAGACUCUGUGCCGAAAGUUGAAUAGAGAACAGUCUGACAUGGAUGCAGUCAAGAGGAUGGCGGUUCUAGCUGAAAUGAAAGCUAACGAUCCUGACUUCAAUUACACGGUGCAAGUGGAUGGGGAGAGCAGGGUAAAGACACUAAUGUGGGUAACAAGCAGAGGUUUUGACCAGUACAGGUGUUUCGGAGAUGCAAUCACAUUUGAUACAACUUACCGUACUAAUCUUUAUGACAUGCCGUUUGGGUUGUUUGUUGGUGUAAACAACCACUUCCAAAGCAUAAUUUUUGGUGGUGCCAUGAUGAGGGAUGAGAAGGAGGACACGUUCAAGUGGAUUUUUAAAGAGUUCAUCCGUAUGGUGGGCGGGAAACACCCACAAACAAUCAUAACUGAUCAAGCACGUGCGAUGGAGCUGGCUAUCGAGGCUAAAUUACCAAACACAGUACACCAUUGGUGCAAGUGGCAUGUUCUGAAGAAAGCAAAGGAGUCGAUGGGUGUGUUGUGGAGCAAGAACAGUGACUUUAAGAUGGAGUUCCACAAGCUAGUCCAUCACAUGAUCACAGAGGAAGAAUUUGAAGCUGGUUGGCAGCAGAUGCUGGAAAGGUACUCCCUGAAGAAGCAUCCAUUCUUGACGCAGAUAUAUGAGGUGCGCCAUAAGUGGGCAAAGCAUUUUAGAGGAGUGUUUUGUGCGAAAAUGACUAGCACACAACGGAGUGAGAGUGCAAAUCACAUGUUGAAAGGUUACAUGCCGCCAGGGUGUCCUAUGCACCUGUUUUUGAAACAAUUUGAGAAACUCCAAUUUGACAGGGAGUCGGAGCAGAGCUUCCAGGAGAAGAGAACAUUGUUGAGUGGUGUGUCGCUUAGAAAUAACCUGCCACUAGAGAGGCAUGCUAGCAAGGUGUACACGAGAGCUAUGUUUGAGAAGUUCGGUGAAGAGCUGUAUAAGUGUGGUGCACAUGUAUUGGAUGAGAUUGUACCAAGGAAGGUUUACAGAUCAACACAUGUAGAUGCUGCAGCAAGAGAGAAAUGGAGUAAGGUUGAGUUCACAAUCGAAGUGGAUGAUGAAGAGAGUUUUUUCAGUUGUGAAUGCGGCAUGUUUGAACACGCUGGGACCAGUUUUGGCAUAACUACUUCGCAACAUCGGCGUGCAUGUGGCGUUUCCCCUCUUGGGAGCCGGUGCCGGCUUUGCUGGCUUUGCUGUGGGACAUUCCUUAGAAGGGAAGCCAAUUAG
rnacentral:rRNA from 1 species